UACGAAGGGGGCUAGCGUUGUCCGGAAUUAUUGGGCGUAAAGCGCGCGCAGGCGGUCGAUUAAGUUUGGUGUUUAAGGCUGAGGCUCAACCUCAGUUCGCACUGAAAACUGGUUGACUUGAGUACAGAAGAGGAAAGUGGAAUUCCACGUGUAGCGGUGAAAUGCGUAGAUAUGUGGAGGAACACCAGUGGCGAAGGCGACUUUCUGGGCUGUAACUGACGCUGAGGCGCGAAAGCGUGGGUAGCAAACAGG
rnacentral:rRNA from 1 species